GGCCUCUUGAUUUAUUAAUAAGAGGUUUGACCUGCCCAGUGAAUAUUUAACGGCCGCGGUACUCUGACCGUGCAAAGGUAGCAUAAUCAUUAGUCUUUUAAAAGGAGGCUGGAAUGAAGGGUUUGACGAGGAAUUAACUGUCUCAUUUUUUUUUGGAUUUAAAAUUUAACUUUUUAGUCAAAAGGCUAAAAUUUUAUUGGUAGACGAGAAGACCCUAUAGAGCUUUAUAUUUAUUUGAUUAUUUGUAUUAUAUUAUUUAUUAUUAUUUUAGGUAAAUAUUUUGUUGGGGUGACAAAAAUAUAUAAUUAACUUUUUUAUUUUAAUUACAUUGAUUUAUGAAUAUGAGAUCCAUUAUUAUUGAUUGUUAGAUUAAGUUACCUUAGGGAUAACAGCGUAAUCCUCUUCCAGAGUUCAUAUUUACGGGAGGGCUUGCGACCUCGAUGUUGGAUUAAGAUAAUAUUUAGGUGUAGCCGCUUAAGUAAUAGGUCUGUUCGACCUUUAAAUUCUU
rnacentral:rRNA from 1 species